rnacentral:rRNA from 1 species
GACGGAGGAUGCAAGCGUUAUCCGGAAUGAUUGGGCGUAAAGCGUCCGCAGGUGGCAGUUCAAGUCUGCUGUCAAAGACCGGGGCUUAACUUCGGAAAGGCAGUGGAAACUGAACAGCUAGAGUAUGGUAGGGGCAGAGGGAAUUCCUGGUGUAGCGGUGAAAUGCGUAGAGAUCAGGAAGAACACCCGUGGCGAAGGCGGCUCUCUGGUCGACAUCUGACGCUGAGACGCGAAAGCGUGGGGAGCGAACGGG